UAUAAAAAGAACGGGUGGUGAGUACAGGCAUCUUAAUGUGAGGAUAAUUAAUAAACAUUUUCUUUUAAUUUGUUGAUAGAAGGUACCCAAGGCCUAUGACCACUGUGCUUUCUUCUUCUGGUUUCAUACAGCUUUUAUUCAAGAUAACAGGCUUUAUUUAUCAAGAGAUGAGUUGGAUAAUCCACAUAAGGAUGAGCAGUUUAAAGUUUUUAACAAGAAUUUUGCUGUUGAAGUGAAGUUUACGCAAUAAUGACUAUGAGAUAAAGUACAUCUAUCAUCAUUGUGAUCUCGAUCCCUGCUAUUUAAACUUUGACAAUUGGACACUUGAACAAAAGGGAUUUAGAUGGUGAACAAUACAUUGUAUUUGACAUGAUAGAUUGCGAAGACAGAAUUGUAUAACGCUAGGUAUAUAUUGAUGUACUGAUGUAUUAAUCAACAGGCACAGAUCAAUGAUUUAGGGGGAAAAGGCACAAGUAGGAAAAUUAGGUUAACACUGUUCUCAAAACUAGGUGGAUGGUGGUAAAUCCCAAAAUUUAAAUUUACAAUUAAUAUAUUAAAAUGAAAGGUUGCAGUAUUUAAGGUUAACUACAUAUGGUAUACAAAUGCAGACAAUAUAUGGGAAAUAUUAAAGUUAAGUAUGCCCGUAAUGCAUAGUGUCAUUGUAAAGCAGAAAUGGUCAGAAUACAUUUACAAUUAAAAAUCCCUUAAGGUUUAGAAUAAAUUAUAUUAUAUGUUUAGAUCGUCUAAAAUUUGUAUGCAAACAAUAAUUUUAAUGUUUAUAAAAUACAUUAAUUUUGAAGGUUGUUUAUGUUUCCCAAUGCUUAAAUGUUCCUAAAUUUUAGAAGGCUUUAAUUUUGUAAUAUGAAUGCAAUUUGAUUAAAGUUUAUUUUAAAUAUCAGUUGCUGCUAAAAUUGUUACAUUCCACACACAUGACAUGAUGUGGCAUAUUUAACAAGAACUCAAUGCACAUUCCUUCUGAAGAUAUAACUUGAAUAAAAUUACAAAUAAUCAAAGAUACCAAAAAACAACAUUAAACAGGUGAUAAUUUGUA